rnacentral:lncRNA from 1 species
GGAAGGGGAAGAGGAAAUGAGGUAUUUGUUGUUUUGCUUGCAUUUUUCCAUACUGGCAGAUUUAACCUUUUUCUUUAUCAUGAUCUGGAAAUUUGACUUUGAUUCUGUAUGACAUGACCAACGUAAAAUAAGAACCUUACAUUAUCCAAUGAGCUGUUACUUCUAAGGAAUAUUAAAUGGAAAGUUUCUGAAAACAUCCUACUUUAGUUUCGCAUGGCUCUAAUUUCUUUUCUCCCUUUCCUUGUUCGUUUUUUUUUGGGUUAUUUUUGCUUUUUUUAACAAUGCAAUUACUAGUUCUAGGUACAGAAUAGUCUUAGUUUUUGUGCUUAAUUUCUUCCUUUUCUUUCUCAAUCACUGCUAGUUCAUUGGUAACACCAGAAAAGCAGUUUGUCUGUAUUGCUUUUCCAAACCAAAUUAGUUAUGGCCAAUAUUCUUUGAGGUGAUGAUAUUGGUGGACUUUGAUUUUUAACAAACCAAUCUUUUGGAUUGCAGAUUGCACGUUCUGCUACCAGAUUCGAGGAGGAUUUCGAUUUUACAGCAAUGAAUGAGAAAUUCAACAAGGAAGAAGUAUGGGGUCACCUUGGUAAGAGUCACAAAGCUCAAGACAGGGAUGAUUUACUAGAUGAAGAUGAUGUUGGAUCGUCAAAACAUGAGGCCAAGGUAAACUCUCUCUCUCUCUCUCUCUCUCUCUCACACACACACACACACACACACACAAAGCUGCAAAGAUUGAAAGGAUCUUCUGUCUCCAAUCCAUUGUACUUGUUCUUACUCUGCAUUUCCUGUUCUGCAGCCUGUUUAUGUGAAGGAUGACUUUUUUGAUUCCAUUUCGUGUGGUGCUCUUGAUGGUGGAUCACGCAAUGGGAGGGCUAGGUUUUCCCAGCAGUCAAUAAGAGAUACCAAUGUCUGUGUUGUUCCCUAUAGUCCUCAUCAGUUUACUUUUUCUAAUUUUAUAAUCUAAUCUGAUAAAAUUUGUCAAUGUUUUUACUGCAGCUACUAAAUUAUGUUGGAUUGUCUAAAUUGUUUUGUUUUGUUUUAGAAUAGAAGUUUCAAAAACAUUCUGAACUGCUGAAAUGAUGAAUUUUUGUUUUCAAAUGCCAUGAUCAACCCUGUUUCUCUUUGUUCUGGAAUAGUUUUUGUUUCAUUAUCACUGAGCUGAUUUCUCUUGAUUUAAAAUUGCAGGCAUUUGGUAAUUUCUCCCACCAUCGGGGUGGUCGAGGUGGCUGGGGACCUGAUCGGGGUGGUCGAGGUGGUUGGGGACCUGAUCGGGGUGGUCGAUCACAUGGUGGUUAUUAUGGAAGAGGUUAUGGCUAUGCUGGUCGUGGUAGAGGUUAUGGCAAUGAUGCCUUCUAAUUAUCACUCGAGUUUACAGUGUAAUAUUUGGUGAUAUUUAGUUCCUGUCGAAGUCAU